rnacentral:rRNA from 1 species
CUAAGGGCUUUCGGUGAAUGCCUUGGCGCCAAAUGCCGAUGAAGGACGUGAGACACUGCGAUAAGCUUCGGGGAGCCGUGUAUAGGCUUCGAUCCGGAGAUUUCCGAAUGAGGAAACUCACUUGAGCGAACCUCAAGUAUCCUCCUACUGAACACAUAGGUUGGAGGAAGGGCACCCAGGGAACUGAAACAUCUAAGUACCUGGAGGAAAAGAAAAUAUUCUCCUAGUAGUGGCGAGCGAACGGGGAAGAGCCUAAACCAUACCAGCUUGCUGGGAUGGGGUUGUAGGGUCUGGCAUAUGGAAGUCACAAAACAGUCAGUUAGCGGAAAGGUGUGGGAAAGCCUGCCAAAGAGGGUAACAGCCCCGUAUGCGAAAACUGAUUGUCUUCCGCUAGAUACCUGAGUACUACCGGGCACGCUAAUCCGGUAGGAAUCUGGGGAGUCCACUCUCCAAGGCUAAAUACAUUUGGCGACCGAUAGUGAACAAGUACCGUGAGGGAAAGGUGAAAAGUCCCCCUGUUAGGGGAGUGAAAUAGAACCUGAAACCGAAAGCCUACAAACAGUUGGAGGGCUAACAGUGAGUUGAGCCCUGUAGAAAUACAGACGUUCCUCACUAUGCCUGACAGCGUGCCUCUUGGAGAAUGAGCCUGCGAGUUAAUCUCAGUGGCGAGGUUAAGGAAGUAACAUCCGAAGCCGUAGCGAAAGCGAGUCUGAAUAGGGCGUAUAGUCGCUGGGAUUAGGCCCGAAACCGAGUGAGCUACCCAUGGGCAGGGUGAAGCGAGUCUAACCACUCGUGGAGGCCCGAACUUACUAAUGUUGCAAAAUUAGGAGAUGACCUGUGGGUAGAGGUGAUAUGCCAAACGAACUCGGAGAUAGCUGGUUCUCCCCGAAAUAGCUUUAGGGCUAGCGUCAUGCGUUUAGUAUUGGAGGUACAGCACUGAAUGGGCUAAGGGGCUUACCGCUUACUGAACCCAAUCAAACUCGGAAUGCCAAUACUCCAUAGCAUGGCAGUCGGACUACGGGAGAUGAGUUUCGUGGUCGAAAGGGAAACAGCCCAGACCAUCAGCUAAGGUCCCAAAAUCUACACUAAGUGGGAAACGAGGUGAGAUUACUUGAACAACCAGGAGGUUGGCUUAGAAGCAGCCACCCUUUAAAAAGUGCGUAACAGCUUACUGGUCUAGUGACCUUGCGCGGAAAACUUAACGGGGCUAAGUGUAGUACCGAAGCUAUGGGUCUCAGCAUUAGCUGGGGCAGUAGGGGAGCGUUCCGUCAGCGGUGAAGGUCGAUCGAUAAGGGCGACUGGAGCGGACGGAAGUGAGAAUGCAGGCAUGAGUAGCGUAUAAACACGUGAGAACCGUGUUCGCCGUAAAUCUAAGGUUUCCGACGCCAGGUCAUUCCGCGUCGGGUUAGUCGGGUCCUUAGCCGAGGCCGAAAGGCGUAGGUGAUGGACAUCCGGUCAACAUUCCGGAACCACUCAAUAGGAGUGAUGAGGGGACGCAACGAGGUAGGCCAGCCGCCGAUUGGUUGUGGCGGUGCGAUCUGUCUAGGUGUUGAGACUGGUAGGAAAAUCCGCCGGUUGAGCUGAGGCAAGAGCGAGCCGUAAGGCAUAAGUGGUUGAGCCUUGUUGCCGAGAAAAGCCUCUAAACGUUGAGUAUUGAGUGCCCGUACCGCAAUCCGACACUGGUAGAUGGGUAGAGUAUACCAAGGCGAACGGGAGAACCCUUGUUAAGGAACUAGGCAACAUGACCCCGUAACUUCGGGAGAAGGGGUACCUCCUAGCGUUAGGGUAACCAAAGCGCAGGGAGGUCGCAGUGAAAUGGCUCUGGCGACUGUUUAACAAAAACACAGGUCUCUGCUAAGCCGUAAGGCGAUGUAUAGGGGCUGACGCGUGCCCAGUGCCGGAAGGUUAAGGGGAGAGGUUAGCGCAAGCGAAGCUUCGAACCGAAGCCCCGGUGAACGGCGGCCGUAACUAUAACGGUCCUAAGGUUAACAAUUCGCUAGCCUUAGUAAAAUCGAACUAUAUGCGGGAAUAUCCUCCUACAGCCAGUCGGUACUCGUUGUAAUCAAAUACAGCAGUAAAAAUCCGCUGGACAUGGGGAUGAUCCGCAGGGAAGGCUUCCAUGGUAGAUGACGAUGAAAUAUUGGAAGAACCCUCAGAGACUUCACGUUCGAUCUCGACUGAAUCAAGAUUGGAAGCACAAUGGGUUGUAGGGUUUGUGGAUGGCGAAGGUUGUUUUUAUGUCGGCAUCAAUGCCCAGCCUGAGAUGAAAACAGGGUAUCAGGUAUUACCUGAGUUUACGGUUGUACAACACAAACGUGAUGUGCAAUUGUUAUAUGCCCUGAAAAAGUUUUUUGGUUGUGGUGUGGUACGACAGAAUCACGGUGACCGAAUGGCUUACCGUGUGCGAGGUCUUGAAAACCUCCGGGAACGGAUUAUUCCGUUCUUUGAAAAGCAUCCUUUGAAAACGAAGAAGCGUCUUGAUUUUCUGAAAUUCAGAAAGAUAAUGCUUCUGAUGGAAAGAGAAGAACAUCUGCACCCCGCGGGGAUCGAAAAGAUCCGCCAACUCGCUUCUGAGAUGAAUACAGGUCGAGAAAGAUAAAGUCCGGCUUCUCUGGAAACAGAGUAAGAAUAUUCCGAGCGAAAUUCCUUGUCGGGUAAGUUCCGACCCGCACGAACCGCGUAACGAUCAGAGCACUGUCUCAACAAGGGACCCGGUGAAGUUGAAAUGGCUGUGAAGAUGCGGCCUACCCGCAGCAGGACAAAAAGACCCCGUGGAGCUUUACUGCAACUUGGCAUUGUGUUUGGGUAUGAUCUGUGUAGCAUAGGUGGGAGGCUGUGAAGCUGGGGCGUUAGCCUCGGUGGAGCCGUCAGUGAA